ACAAUUUUUAAAAAGGAAACACUGUAAAACUGGGCAGAUUGAAUUGUUCCUUAUUACAGGAAUUGUUCAUUGUUUUUCAAUAUUUCCUAUAAUGUUUUAGAUAUCUUACUAGGGUUUGAUUUCACCAUUUAAAAGAAGUGCAAGUGGAUAAAAUCACUCAUUCAGAUCUAUUCUUCAUAAAAACCAGACCCAAAAGAGUCCCCUGUAUCAUUUUGUGUUAACAUUAUCUGUGUUAUGUGUUAACAUUAUCUGUAAAGAAAAGCAUGUGUCUGAUUUCAUGUUUUACUGACCCUUUGAGAACCUUUGAGAGAUGGUUAAUUAAAAAAUAUUUUUCUUAACCUCUUUACAGUACUUCCUAUAUGUGAAUUCCACACCUGAUGGGUGCUCCUGGCCACUGCUGAAUUGGAAACAUAAAAGCAAAAUCCUUAGGCUGGACAUCAUGGAAAAUGCUACGUAUAAGCAGUUGCCACCUACCUUCACCUCUGCAGAAAUCUGUGGAUGUGCUGAUAUUCAUCCAAGGGAAUGGACCAAGAAGAAGGAAACAGCAGCCUAUGGAUCAGUUUCCUAAAGAGAAACAAAGGCCAAAAUUCUCAGUAGAGUGAAGCUUGUCAUUUGGUUCCAAUAAGAACACGAGGAAACACACAAGCAAAGAG